ensembl:lncRNA
UGGCCUACCAGUUAGUCAUCUCUCAUUACUGUAUGGGGAUUCUCCUCUGCAGAUUGAGUGGCUGGGCCCGUCCUUGCUCUGGUGGCCAACAGCCACUCGGUGGGCAGUAGCUGUCCUUGCAGCUCCUGGGCUCAGGCAACAGUGUGCUAGGGAACUCUGACUGGGAGAGCCUUGCAAUGGGACAGCAGCCAGAAGGGCACCUGAGCAGCAGAGCACUUUGGUAGCAGUGAGAAAAGUCAAUACGGGUUCUGAUAGCGCAGCAGCACUCAGCAGGCUCAUCGCUUUCUCUGACCUACAGUGCUGACAUCCAAACUGAAAGGACUACAUUUAAGUGUCAAAGAGGUAGGAGAAACGUAGGAUGAGGCGUCCUAUGCAUCGAGUGAUUCUAGGAGUGCAUUAGAGAGGCAAGAACUGACUGUGUUACUCCUGUAUUGGUCACGUGUGCAAGCCAUGAGACUGUACUUUCAGAAAUAGUUGGGAGAAAGCGGCCUCUGUCAGGGAGAUGAGUCCAAUUUAGGGUACACACAGAUUGAUGCCAUUUUGUCAGAGCUGCACCUGCUCGUGCCAGCUCGGAGGGUGGCCGAGGGCCAGACAGCACUUUGUUAAUCAAAUAGGAGAUAUGGAAGUGAGUUUGAUUAAAGCUGAGAGACAACAUGUGGGGGAACAGUGGGAGGAACCACUCUGAGCCAGUGGAAAAGAGAUCUGCUGGAAAAAAAUGAUGGGGAAGGAUUUCUGCUGUUUGAAUGGAUGAAAGUAAUAAGAAAAGAAAAGCUCAGAGAAGGCUGCGGGUCUUUGGGAGACGUGAUGGUUAGGGACAGCAGCAGGAGAACAGCCAAAUCUUCUUGUCGUAACAUUUCAGACCUGCUAUGGGCAAACAUCGCAGCAACUUUUGUUAAGCAUGAUAAUGCUAAAUCCCAAAGACUUUGCCCAGCAGCAUAGGGGGGGCACAGAGAAUAAAUGAGGUCUGAUUCUGGGAUGUGCAGGCUGCUGUCUCUUCUGUGCCGAAGAUCCUCCUGAACCAAGAGUUGGGGAUUUGGCUCUAUGCUGUGCAGUACUCUCCGUGAACAGCUU